rnacentral:rRNA from 1 species
AUUGAACGCUGGCGGCAUGCUUUACACAUGCAAGUCGAACGGUAACAGGCCGCAAGGUGCUGACGAGUGGCGAACGGGUGAGUAAUGCAUCGGAACGUGCCCAGUCGUGGGGGAUAACUACUCGAAAGAGUAGCUAAUACCGCAUACGAUCUAUGGAUGAAAGCGGGGGACCGUAAGGCCUCGCGCGAUUGGAGCGGCCGAUGUCAGAUUAGGUAGGUGGUGGGGUAAAGGCUCACCAAGCCAACGAUCUGUAGCUGGUCUGAGAGGACGACCGGCCACACUGGGACUGAGACACGGCCCAGACUCCUACGGGAGGCAGCAGUGGGGAAUUUUGGACAAUGGGCGCAAGCCUGAUCCAGCAAUGCCGCGUGCAGGAAGAAGGCCUUCGGGUUGUAAAAUGCUUUUGUACGGAACGAAACGGCUCUGGUUAAUACCCGGGGCUAAUGACGGUACCGUAAGAAUAAGCACCGGCUAACUACGUG